rnacentral:hammerhead_ribozyme from 1 species
AUCCGGCUGAUGAGUCCCGAAUAGGACGAAACGCGCAUCCUGUAU